UUCAUAAGAAAACUUGUAGAAAUCAUCUAUAGGACAUGAUCCAUGUAGUUUUGCCACCAUGGUGAUCACCAACUAAGGCAAGGACAGUAACACAGAUUUUCCAAACUACUACUAAAAGCAUAACUUCAUUUUGUCAUUUUGUGUGUAAAAAAAGAAAAAAAAAAUUGUGUGUGUGAGUCUCUUAUCAUGUACAGUUCAGGACUCAGGCAAGUAACAACAUUACUUUUCUUUUCAUAAUCUACUGGAUGAGAUACAAAAGGUAUAGCUAUCCUCCAUUUCUCCUCCCUGCAAACACCCCCAUCUCUUGAAAAUAGUUCUGCCUCCUGUUCCUCACAAACUAAGACAAGGUCCUGCCAUUAUAUGCUGCUGCUAGCAACUGUAAACAUCAACAAAAGGUGCCUAAAGAAACAAGCUCAUAUCUCCUCGGAUAUUAAUCUAUUUUUCAUAAGCAAUUUAAAGCAAGGCAGGUAACAACAUUAUUGACCUCGCAAGCACCCACCAUCCGACAUUAGCAUAAUUCUCAAAAGUUACUUGCCAAAUAUUCAUACUACAUAUCAUUCCCAGCUGAAGCGUCCAAAACUACACAUUUUGAUGGGAAAAAACAAAGAAUUACUAUUAGUUCCUUUUGAAGUUUUAAGAAAAUUUAUUGAUUUGUCCCUAUUUCAAAAUAACAGGUUAAAAUAACUAAAUAAAAUAAAUAUUUAAAAGGGAAAAUUACUUCUUAGUCCCUCAGGUUUAACGUAAUUAACACUUCUGUCCCUCUAUUUUGGCAACCCAACACUUAAGUCCCUCACUUUCUCUUCCGUCCAAUUUCGUAGUCCUUCCGUUCAUUUAAACCGUUUGGUCAAAGAGUCAAAAGUGAGAGGUGAUAAUUUUUUCCAGAAAUACCCNNNNNNNNNNNNNNNNNNNNNNNNNNNNNNNNNNNNNNNNNNNNNNNNNNNAAGAAGAAGAAGAAGAAGAAGAAGAAGAAGAAGAAGAAGAAGAAGAAGAAGAAGAAGAAGAAGAAGAAGAAGAGGGUUAAUUUUGUCAAUUCACGUGUCCCAAACGGCUAUUUUGAACGGAAGGACUGCGAAAUUGGACAGAAGAGAAAGUGAGGUACUUAAGUGUUGGGUCGCCAAAAUAGAGGGACAGAAGUGUUAAUUACGUUAAACCUGAGGGACUACAAAGUAAUUUUCCCUAUUUAAAAUUAUAUGAAAUAAAAUUAUUAGAACUAAACAAUAUAUAAAUCGAAGAAGGCUGAUGAUUUCUUUCAUGUAAGUUUUAAAGAGUUGGUAAAAAUAACUGACUAUAAGGACAAACUAGUAAAUUUUUAAAAUCCAGUGAUCUUAUAAUAAUUAAUAAGAAGUAUAUAUGCAUCCAAAUCGAUUGACAAUAGCUUAAAGCGUAACUAACCAUGAUGCAGAAACAGGACUGGCAAAUCUAUUAAGAGCACUGCAAAUGCUAACCUGUUCAUCUACAAGCUCCGAUUUAUUUAAAACGAGCGUCAAUGGUAUGCCAGCGGAUUCAGCCUCGACAAGAAACCUCGUGAGCGUGAAAGGCUGAAUCUUCGGCUGCUCC
rnacentral:lncRNA from 1 species